UGGUGGCAGGACGCAUGUCAGGUGGGUGAGGGCGGAGCCAGCACACAGGCUACAGGUGGGUGAGGAGGCGCAAGCACACAGGCCCCCACACACCCGCGGCCGGUCUACACCGUUGCAUUCUCCCCCCGAACGUGUCCUACUCCACAGAACACGGAGAACGGACCCCAGCUCGGCAUGCCUGUCAAUACCAGCAUCUCCACUCCGGACGGGGUCCCCGAGGGAGACGCUGGCGACGCUCAGUUGGCCCUGGUGGAGGACGUCGCCUACCGCUACAUCAUGCCGGCUUUCAUCUCCGUGAGCGUCUUGACCAACUUGAUGAACGUGGUGAUGCUGGGACGGGCGAGGCGACAGCAUCAACAGCGGCAGGCUCAGGCCACCACCUUCUUCUACCUCAUGUGGCUCGCCCUUACCGAGAUGCUCGCCUCACUCGCCCUUGUGCCAGCACUCGCCCACCUCGACCGUAGCCACCUCUCCUACGGCUGGGCCUUCUACUACGCUCAUUUUGAAACACCGGUGCUGAACGCCCUGACGAGCGCCAGUGUUUAUAUUGUAGUGGGUCUCUCAGUGGACCGCUACAUCGCCGUGUGUCAUCCUCGGCGCUACCAGGAUGUCAGCGCCCCCCGCCUCGCUGUCAGCCGCAUCACGCUGUCGCUACUCGUCCCGGCUCUUCUCUACAUCCCUCAUGGCUUCUACCAGAAAGUUGUAGCUGCCCAGGGCGGAGCAGGGUGGACCUACGAGGGGCUGGAGAUGGCCGCCCCCAGGGCCUGGUACGCGUGGAACGUGGUGGUGGAGCUGUGUCACCGCAUGGCUCCCGCCACACUCCUAGCCGCCCUAAACGCCUGCAUUAUCUACACCUUCAAGAAGGUGACGUCGCGGCGGAGGCUCCUCACCAAGAGCAAGGGCACUGAGAGCACCAACAAGAGCGAAGACAACAGCAAGGGCCAGCAGGAGCACCGCCUCAUCUACUUACUGAUGGCCAUCGUCACCACCUUCCUGCUCACCAACCUCCCAGCCACAGUCCUCGCCCUCAUAGACACCGCCGGUGCCUCUCACGGCUCCUUCUCACUCGAGGUGUUCCGGGCAGUGGCCAACUGCCUCGAGGUGCUGGGUUUCUCUCUCAAUUUUGUCUUGUACUUCGUCUUCGUGCCUGGGGUGCGCCAGGGACUGAAUGAGGCGCUGCUGGUGGUCCGAAAGUCAGUGUGUGGUUUGGUUGUCCAUGCUAAGGCCGCCCACGGCUGCUCCUACUCCUUCGGCGAGGACAGAUCCAAGGACACCGAGUACGACGAGGUCUAGGAUGCGAGGACAUAGAAUGAAGGAUAUGUGGACCUGCAGUGAUGUAAGGCAUAUGGACAUAAAAUUGUACAGUAGUGUAAGCCUCAGGAGACUAUGGAGUUGUGCUCUGGUUGUCGGUUUGGAGUGGCCUCUCCAGGGCGCAAAGCCAGGGUAGGUUGAUACGGGGAAGAAGCUGUCACCCAUGCAGCAGGGCGUCCCUCUCCACGGCGCCGAAAGUCUCCAAAGGAAAGGCAAACACCAAUACGAUUGGUUCCAGCGCCGUCGCAGGAACUGUCAGAACGAGGUUGCAGGCAACAACGAACUGCCCCCAGGGGGCUCCAGCUCCAGAUUUUACCUCAAAAUUGGUAAGACACAGGGACUCCAAACCCGGAGACCGCCGUGGUCGGGGCGGGAGAAGAACCACCCCAGCAAGUGCAAGAACGACCCCAGCCUCCUGCAGCAGAGCCUGGGGGGCCGCACGAGCCCCAGGAGGUGGACGGCCCGGUCCCGCACCUACGGGUUCCAGACAGAGAUCGUCACAGCCCCCUGUCACCCGAGGCCGGCUUCCUUCAUGACCCAGCCGAAGGAAGAGUAAUAAUUAUUAAUUACAACAGUUAUAAUUAUUAUUAUAAUAAUAUAAUUAAUUAAUAACUAUUACACUUUCUUCUGGCGAAUUACAUGAUAUAGCAUUGUAUAAGUGGAAAUAACUCUUAGAUUUAAAAUAUAUAUUGAGUAGGUUAUACUCUACUUGUGAGAGUUUACACACGUAUUAGUUAAACUGUGUGUGUCCUCUUGUGUGUUGAUAAUGCUCUUAUAAGUGUAAUUAAAUAUUUCUUGUCUUUUAUGUUAUAUACA
rnacentral:misc_RNA from 1 species